rnacentral:tRNA from 1 species
UAUAGCUUAGUGGUAGAGUGUGUGCUUAGCAUGCUCAAGGUCCUGGGUUCAAUCCUCAGUA